GUAGAGAUGGCUCAGUGGUUAAGAGCACUGACUGCUCUCCAGAAGGUCCUGAGUUCAAAUCCCAGCAACCACA
rnacentral:tRNA from 1 species